GACGUAGGGCGCGAGCGUUGUCCGGAUUUAUUGGGCGUAAAGAGCUCGUAAGCGGCUUGUCGCGUCGUCCGUGAAAACCUGCAGCUCAACUGCAGGCUUGCGGUCGAUACGGGCAGGCUGGAGUUCGGUAGGGGAGACUGGAAUUCUGGUGUAGCGGUGAAAUGCGCAGAUAUCAGGAGGAACACCGGUGGCGAAGGCGGGUCUCUGGGC
rnacentral:rRNA from 1 species